rnacentral:rRNA from 1 species
UAUGGCGACCGGCGCACGGGUGAGUAACACGUAUCCAACCUGCCGAUGACUCGGGGAUAGCCUUUCGAAAGAAAGAUUAAUACCCGAUGGCAUAGUUCUUCCGCAUGGUGGAACUAUUAAAGAAUUUCGGUCAUCGAUGGGGAUGCGUUCCAUUAGGUUGUUGGCGGGGUAGCGGCCCACCAAGCCUUCGAUGGAUAGGGGUUCUGAGAGGAAGGUCCCCCACAUUGGAACUGAGACACGGUCCAAACUCCUACGGGAGGCAGCAUG